GAGUGCUAGAGACCUACCCGAUCGCCCGAGUAGAUUGGGUGGAUGCAGAGCUGGCCUGGGGCCCUCCCUGCCCCGCGACUCGGUGGAGAAGCGGUGCACCAAGGCGCAGAAGGAAGUGGAUGAGUCAUUUCUUAGGAUAAGCCCAGUGUGGACAAAUAUGCGGGUGGAACAGGAGGUGUGUGGGCGUUUGUGCUUAAGCUCACAGAUGCUCCCCCUGCAGAUGCCCAGGACCCUGGGUAGAGCCCGGGGACUGCUGGUGAUACCCUCAUGUUGAGAAUGAGGUGAAGAAUUCAGUGUCACCUGGGAACCCAAGUUGUGCCCUGUCCACGGAGGGUGGGGUUGGCAGAGCAUCUGUGCGCCCACUCUUGUCCUUGGCCUGUGAUUUUCACAAGAGGUGGCCAGAGAGCACAGAGUGGAUGCAGCAUUCAUGAGAGUUUCCAAGGAAAAGACCUCAGGAUGAGGAGGAAUGGCCGACGUGUCUGUUGGAGCAAGGAUACGGUUGGUCCUGUAGGUGCAGCAGGCAGCAGGCCUGCCUAAGGAGGUGUGUGAACGGAACAGCAAACACAAGCACCGUGCAGAAAAUACACUUGCGGGACAUGGCCAUCCGGAAGCGCUGAGGGAUGGGAAGGGGGAGCAGCCGCUCCCAAGGCCUCAAAACAUGCUUCCCCUCAGCGUGGUGACCUGUGCCCUGGAGGCGACCUUAACCAGGUGACCAUGUCCUUCUGCCGGGUCUGGGAUAACUGGGCACCAACAUUAACGGCUCAGAGAAAGAUUGGAACUCUUGGCACCCUUGUUUGGAAUGUCUUCCAAGUAGCUAAGGGUGAAUUUUCUUCAAUGAAAUAUAUUAAUUUAUAAGAAGGAAAGAUCAAAAAGCAUACAUUGUUUACAGAACCUUGAAGCAUUUGUGUUUCAACCAGCUCAGCAUUAGAAAGGAAUUUAUCUAAAAUGGGAAAUCACAUUUGGAAACAUUUAAACAACCGCUUCUGGGUCUGGAGAGGCGAUCUGUCGCAGCACGCGUCUGCGGGAACCCUGGUUCUGGAAAGGUUCACCAUGGAUCUGGUCCUGUUAGCGUUUCUGUGGGACACAGGGCUGGGAUCAGAGCAACAAUCACCUUUACAACUCAAGAGUCCCUGUGGGAAGAUGAGCUGCUUGACUCAAGAGGCUGUAACCAGAGCUCCUUGCCCUCCAGCAUGGCCUCACCCGGCUGCCUGCACAGAGUCCACCUGGUCUUCCACCCACUGGCAUUGGUACCAAAUGCCUGUCUCCGUGCUGUUCCUCCUCUCACUGAUGCCUCAUGGGGCAGGGACAGAGCAUCCCAGACUGCCCCCUAGUCAGGUAGGUGGUGUGUCACACAGGGUGUGGGCAACAACAGCAGAGGCCACAGAAGGCCUGGUGAUGGAGCCAGAGUGCAACCGAGACCAAUGUUUCAGGGGGCUUUGAACCUGGACCAGAUCUUCCCACACAGAGCAGAGGAUCUCAGCUGCGCACGUGUGAGCACAAAGCAGAGGCACAAAAGGCAGAGGAGCAGGUGAGGUGCCUGUUUUGAGCUCCAGAACAGAAGCCGCCUCCAAAGUGCAGGAGUCUUACAAGAAGGAAGAAACGGGCACGUGCCCCUGACCCCUUUGGGAGCCCUGCAAACCCCCGAGAGUGAUUCGGGUGGAUGGCAGUUUCAGAUCCUCUCUGCUCUUGUUUACUCUUGCUUGGAAGAUAAGAUAAAAUGUACAAGUAUACAAAUAGGUCCAGAGUCAGAAAGGUGCGGGAAUACAUGGGUACCUGCGGAACCCAAUUUUGUGGUGGCCACAGAGAGCUGGGCGUUCCUGGAGUUGGAGGGUCUGAACAGCAGCAAUAGACCUGUUGAGGGCGGGUUGGGUGCUGUUUAGACUCUCAGGUUCGUGUUCGGCUGCGUUCCCAGGUCCGCCCCCAGCAUACUGAUUACUGUGCCUCUGCGCUGCUGGCACCCCGGCACUGGCAGAAUGGCUCCCCACUGCCUGCUUCCAUGGCAUCCUCAGCCCUACCCACCCCUUGGGGGUCUUCUCCAGAGAGAUCAUGUCUCUUGGGACUGGAUUCAAAUAAUCAGAGAAAACCAUUUUCUUUACUGUCUUGUUCCAUUACACAGUCAAUAUAAGAAGGAGACAUGAGAUGGAGAGGCUAUUUUGACCCGAGGGGAAAAGGAACUGCCCAUAGUGACUAAUUCCAUUCCUGGCAGCCAACAGGUGUCCCUGGCAGCCAAUGGGUGCCCCUUUUAAAAAUGUGGUCCCGUCUCCAUGGCAGCAACAGUGUGCAAUAUCUUCCCUGUCUGUAAACACGCCUUGGGUUUAUUUGAAAAAUAACAAAUAUCUCUUUAUUUGGUUUAACCAAAUAUCUCUUUAAUAAGAUGUUAUAGACUGAUUUGGGUAGAGAUGAAAAUGCAUGGCUUUCUCUGUAAAGGGGGUCAUGUGUUGACCCCCAGGGAGGCCGAGCAUCUACCCCGAGCAUCUGCCCUUGCCUUUCUCUCCUGUUCUUCUCUGUGCUCCGUCGACCCACCUGUCCUGUUGACCUUGGGCCUCCUUUGAUUGUUAACAAGUGGAGACUCCAGUUAAACAUCAUGUGGGCAAAGACGCCUUUGCAGGAUCUUUCUAUAGGCACUAACUAUGACUUGGGAGGAUUCAUGAUUCAUUGACUUGAACCCAGUGCACAAAUUGUUCUUUUCUGGAUGUAUAACUGGAACAUUGUCCUCAAACUCCAAGAGGAAAAUGCUUCUGAUAUAAAGAUGGAAAUGAGAAAUGGGCUUCUAACCAGAACAUCAUGAGAGCUCGUGCUGCACGUGGAUCUGGACACAAUGGGAGCCUUUCACUCUGCAGGGCAGUCGAAAUGUCAAAUAAUUCUUGAAGCAUAAUGUGUGGCUUGUUAAUCCCUGCCAACGUCUUAUUGCUCUUUGUGUGCUGAAGAAGUUGUGAUUGGAGCAGAGUGACAGUGAGAAGGGACAUUUGUCAAGACCCCCCCCCACAUUUGCCCCACAGCACCCAGAGCCUGCCGGGCACGGACGCCCCCGCCCAGCAUCCUCCAGCAGUGAGAGAUGCUCCACCAAGUUCACAAUCAGAGACGGUGAAGUGCUUUGAACGAGUUACUGAUGAAUCACUAUAGUGAUGUCCUCUUGAUUAAUAUUUAAAAUACUCAUCCAGAUCAAUAAGAAGGCAGCCCACUGAGUCUACUCCAACAGAAGAAUGCUCAGAGAUCUCAGCAAAUAGUCACAGGAGAAAAAUGGAAAAGGACAGUGAACAAAUGGAAAAAGCCCAGCCCCACAGGUUGCUAAAGAAACGUGAAACAAAAACAUGGUAAUGCGCACCUUUGCGGGCUGUGCAAGAUGGCAAGAAUUUUUCUCCCCUAAAUGGUCAUGCUUUGCGUUUCUGAAGAUGUUGGAGGCAGCACAGGGCUGUGCUACUGCUGGGCACAUUAUGUGGGCUGUGCUUUCUGCUGAGAGAUUCACACUCAUCUGUACAGAGCCUGUCUCCGCGUAGUCUCAUCCACCUCACUCUCACCCUUGGCCGACACAUGAGCAAGGGUGAGAAGCACAUUUACCAAUCACUGUGCUUUCCAGGAGGUGAAAGCUGAGAAAUAACCCAGAGGCCAGGCCAGGACUCCCAAAGGUUGCAGGCACCUUAGUCUCUCCCCGCUUCUGCCCACAGGAGUGAGACUCAGUUGUGUUUAUAGUUAUUUUUUUCCUUACUGGAUUUGUGUGCACCAAACUGAAUGAAUCAUUAUCCUGGAUUCAUGUGUGGUGCUUUUAUAAGCUUGUGCCUUUGUAAAAAUAUCGUGAGCACUUAUAAGCCGACCACUGAACAUGAAUGAAUGCUUGAACUUGGCAGUGACUGUAUCUGUGUGAGUCCCUCCCUGCCGACCAAGGUCCUGCCGCCUCCUGGCUGGCCUGACCCUGUUUCUUCUUCCUGUGCUCCUCUUUACAUCACAUCACAUCACAUUAUCCUAUAUAUGUACAAAUAUGUGUUCCAGGAAGAUCUCUAACUUGGCGGAAAGAGCAUCGUGCUCAUGACAUCUUUGACGCUUGUUUUACUCCCUGAAUAUUUGCCACGGGAACCCAUCUGUAUUCUUGUAUGUGGCUAUAAUGUCUUCGUCUUCACUGCUUCUAUUUUCUUUUUUGAAAUUUUAUUUCUGUUAUUUUUUUUUAUGGCUGCAUCCAUGGCAUAUGGAAGUUCCCAGGCCAGGAACUGAAUCUGAGCUGCAGCUGCCAAGAACUUUGCCAUGGCUGUGGCACAUCAGAUCCUUUAACCUACUGUGCAAGAAUGGGGAUCAAACCUGCACCUCUGCGGGAACCCAAGCCGCUUCAGUUGGAUUCUUAACCCACUGCUCCAUAGCAGGAAAUCCUCUAUUUUAUUAUAUCAUGAUUUAUUAAUCCACAUUCCUAUGAAUGAGAAUGUGAAAUGUUCCCAAGUUUUUGCUCCUGAGAGCAAACACAACAAUCCUAUCUACAUCUGCUGAUGUACUUGCAGUUUCUCUCUAUGGCAUUUGUUUCCUGGGACUUUGUUUGUGAUCAAAACAAACUGGACAGUACAGAACACCAGCCGGUCAAUCCCUCCCAGUCGGAGGUGGGAGGUUGGAAUCCAGGUGUUGGUGGGCAGGGCUGUGUUCUGCGGGAAGGAGCCUUCUGUGUCU
rnacentral:lncRNA from 1 species